AUAUCAAUAAGUGGAGGAAAAGAAACUAACAAGGAUUCCCCUAGUAACGGCGAGUGAAGCGGGAGAAGCUCAAAUUUGAAAUCUCCAUGGUUCCCAUGGCGAAUUGUAGUUGAUAGAAGCAUUUUCGGGGUCGCUCUAAAUCUAAGUCAUCUGGAAAGGUGCAUCACAGAGGGUGAGAAUCCCGUUUGUGGUUAGAGUUGACUCUAUGUGAUAUGCUCUCUACGAGUCGGGUUGUUUGGGAUUGCAGCCCUAAAUGGGUGGUAAAUACCAUCUAAAGCUAAAUAUCAACAGGAGACCGAUAGCGCACAAGUA
rnacentral:rRNA from 1 species